rnacentral:rRNA from 1 species
UACGUAGGGGGCUAGCGUUGUCCGGAUUUAUUGGGCGUAAAGAGCGUGUAGGCGGCCAGGUAGGUCUGCUGUGAAAACUCGAGGCUCAACCUCGAGACGUCGGCGGAAACCAUCUGGCUAGAGUCCGGAAGAGGAGAGUGGAAUUCCUGGUGUAGCGGUGAAAUGCGCAGAUAUCAGGAAGAACACCCGUGGCGAAGGCGGCUCUCUGGGACGGUACUGACGCUGAGACGCGAAAAGCGUGGGGAGCGAACAGG